GCUUCUGGAAUUCACAGCCCAGAUGUGGAUAGGCUUUACCCCACUCAUCCUUACAAUGUGGGUCAUGAGCCCAGAGCCUUAAGCUACGUGUUAGGAGGGCCCCAGGAUGUAGGAUUCAGCAUUGCUCUUUUUGACCUUAGGCCCUACUGCGGCCUCGCCUGGACGUUUUGUCACCUGGCCCUGGUGCCUCCAGACAGAACCAGGACGCAUAGAUCAUCUUCUCAGGUAAUAUGAUCCUGACCAGAGGGAGAUGGGUUGGGGCAUCUAUUCUAGUCCCCACCUGCCAGAAUAGGUGUCAGGUGGCUCCUCACCACUCUACAUCAUUAGUGUGUACAAUGGACACAGCAUUAUCUGAACUUCCAUGGCUCUAUGUAAAGCAUUCCAUUGUAUUUUAAUAAUUACGCAAGACAAGGCCUCUUUCACAUAAGGCAAAUAAGUGUGAUUGAUUCAGACUUCUGGCAUUACUGGGCCAUGCUGCCGCAAGAAACAGGUGCAUGUGGAAUCAAGCCUGACGGAGUUAUUGGUGUGCAGAAAAAAAAAAAGAAUCCAGGAACCCAUGAGAUUCUUUGGUGCCUACAAAUUCUGAUCUCCUUUAAAGGUCAUGAAAACUGUGAGAACCCCAUUAGAGCUAAAUGAGUUUUAAGGUUUCAAAAAUCUUAGGGCCCAGGCCCAGCUAAAGCACUUUAGGCACAAAGGAAACUCUGCCAUCCAGAGGGGAAAAGGGUCUGAUUUUUUCUCAUCUGUAAUAUGAGGAAAUUUGUUACCAGUGGCAAAUCUGUACACAUCUGCAGCAACCUCAAGUCUUGUCUCCUCAGAAGAAAGAAUUGAACUGAGGGGCAUAAGGCAGAAGGAGAGACUGAGGCAAUUGAAAAUUAAGCUCAGGGUCUGAGUUCUGGGAUGUUCACCAGUACCAAGGAGUCAGAAUGGAGGUGUUGUAUAAGAGGAGAACUUAGCUCUGAAUGGACUAGUAUACCUGAUCACCAGCAGCAGUUAAAAG
rnacentral:lncRNA from 1 species